GUCUAUGGCCAUGCCCCCCUCAACACGCCUGAUCUUGUCUGAUCUGGGAAGCUAAGCAGGGUUGGGCCUGGAUAGUACUUGGAUGGGAGACCAUCUAGGAAUAUCGGGUGCUGUAGGCU
rnacentral:rRNA from 1 species